AUACGUAUGUCGCAAGCGUUAUCCGGAAUUAUUGGGCGUAAAGCGAGUCUAGGCGGCUUGUUAAGUCAGAUGUGAAAAUGCGGGGCUCAACUCCGUAUUGCGUUUGAAACUGGCAGGCUAGAGUACUGGAGAGGUGGGCGGAACUACAAGUGUAGAGGUGAAAUUCGUAGAUAUUUGUAGGAAUGCCGAUAGUGAAGACAGCUCACUGGACAGAUACUGACGCUAAAGCUCGAAAGCGUGGGGAGCGAACAGGAUUAGAAACCCGGGUAGUCC
rnacentral:rRNA from 1 species